UUAAAACGCCUUGUGAAAAAAUGAAAGCUGCUCCUGCCUUGCUGGGAUUAAAUCUCGUUUUCAGUGCUAAGGGCUCUCAGCUGCUGCUCACUACGAGGAACCCUCCAGCUGGGAACCUUGAUGGUGUUUUCCCAGCCUGGCUGGCCUCCAAAAGCCAAGCUGAUGCACCAGGGUCAGGGUUUGGGAGCUGUAGCUGCUCAGCACCUUUGUAAGCCUGGCCUCCAGUUCAAGCACGUAAGCAUGGAUUUGGGAGUCCCGGCAGCAAAGCUGAGCACGACUGAUCAUAAAAAGCAAUCUGCUCAGCUGGAGGACUUGCAUUUUCUUCAUUCAAAUUUUGGAGGACCACUGCUUCUAAGAAAGCUUUCCAGAACAGCUACCCAGGGAAGUACGAGCUACUUAAUCACCCACAGAGGAAAAAAGGACUCUAAAAAGGACAGAUUUUCUCAAGAAUCUUCUCCAAUGCCCAGUCACUAAAGGACAUAAUGAACUCAAAGGUGAAGGUGGCCAUCACUUGAUGUAUAAACUCUUAUAAACUAUGCACCACUCUUCAAUGGUUAAGGCACAAGCGAAUUUCCUGACUCUUAGUUGCCACAGCUAAGAUUAUUAUCAAUAGAUUAGUUUAGCUUAUUAAUUACUCCCUUGGGAAAAAAAGGCAUCUGCUUAAAUAAAUGUAGUACGAACCUAGCUGCUGCAAAACACUACAGCUGCUUUUACUAUAUAUCUGAGAAGCAGUACUUGGUGGGGCAUGAAGUUACACACAAUUUCUCCCUGGCCUGCAAUCCGGACACCCUGCGCCUUUGAAGAAUACGCAUUAGAAAGCAGUGAUCAAAAAUCCAGACACGCAGACAGAGCAGGGUGGCAAUUUUAAGUAUCUUGAAAUUGUCUACUGCGUCUGAUCAAACAUAAUGAAAGCGUGACAGUCAGUCAAUCAAGUGGCAUCAAAAGACACCUGAUAAUCUCAUUCUUCCACAUCAAUACAUCAGCACUGUCAUGUAAUCACUGGGGGAGGACAGAAGGAUUCAAUCAAGGGAAAAAAAAAGAGACUUGAAAAUAGAAGUUGAAUAUUACCAACAGCUACUGGGAAGAGCAUAUGCAUGCAGACACAGUGACCUUGGAAAAGCUUAAUUCAUCAAGUAAAAUUUAGCAGUCUAACUAAACAAGGACAAAAGCCUCACAGGAGAAAGCUGAAUGCUGGGCAUCUGGAUGAAAGUGCAGCUAGAACUGGAAAUCACAUCACCUGUGUCCUGCCUCAGCCACCGAUGGGCUUCCAUUCCUCAGUUUAGCAAAGUGAGCAGUGCUGGCUUAUUUGCAAGUACUCAGUUACCACCGCCAAUGGCAGUGGUAUCACGUGGGGAUGUGUUGCCAAAGGAAUGUCGUGCCUUCAAGGGGAACUGAGCAGUCAGUCCAUGAGAUAGCCACGGUCAUACUCACUUGCUCCAAAUAAUUCCUUGUGCACCUCUAACACCACAGCAACUCCGAUGUUGUCCUUCGUCAUCACUCUAUUUAACAUCGCUUCCGAACCUUCCGAGUUGGCCAUCGCCACCUGGUUGAACUCCACGGUGUGCUUCUGCACCAGCGUAAACCUGGUGAAACAAGCAGGAUCACACAUGAGCACGUAUGGCAUCGAGCUGCAUGAAAGGCAUGGUUCCUGCCUGACUGCCAGUCUGCAACAUCCAAGGACAGAGUCCGAAGGACAGGCCAUAGGAUGCCCCAAAAUGCCUUGCUUCAGUUUGUGCAGUUCACACAAAUGAGAAGCGUGAAUGCCAGCACUUCUCCUGCCUUCCCAAUGGUUUGAUGCUUUUAGUGUAGCAGAUCUUUUUGGAAAAGAUAUUCAAUAAUACACCCACAUUAAAGCCAAGAGUGUUCUGUUAUCCUGUGGCAGCAGUACACCUUUUAAUACCUGAAGAUUAAGCCAGCACAGCUUUAAAGACUGAAGAUCUUUAAGAUUAAUCUUAGAGAGCUGAAACUUGUCAAGCACGGCAAAGGUUUGUAAAGAAGCUAGAACCACUGAAAGAGUCCUGCACCUUGAAUAAAUUGCUGAGGAAGAACGGAUACAUCUUGCAGUGGUUCAGACAUCCUAUCCUCACCCCACAUCCGUCAGUCCUGCAACGCAUGCUCUCCACUUACGCAGCUAGGGAUUGCUACGAGGUGCCACAAGAGAAGGGCCGUGUCAAACCCUGGCCACUUUACAACACAGUCAAGUUAGCUGUGAGCUGACCCUGAGACCAUCUGUGGAAAUUUAGCGCGGAGGCGGAGUUCCCUAACCUUCCUAGUUAAGAGGACAGAGACAGAGGUAUGGUUCUAGGGAAGGAGAAGCACUAUCCAACAACUCAUGUCCGUUCUCAGUCGGUGUUUUACAUCAACUGGGCUGCAAGUGAGUCAGCAAAGCUGGAAGGUGAUCUGGGCUUAUUGACUAUCACCUAGGACAAAAAAAGGCAUAAUGUAAUAGUACUGAAGAUGUGAAGAGUGUGGUCUGUUGAGGAGAGAAGUAUCAAGCUAUCAGGCUCUUACUCUGAAGAGAUGUUUUGGGCAAUGAACACCAGGAGCUUCUGCAUGCUUGGAGUUUCAAGAAACCCAAACAGGAACGUGUUCAACCACCUCUCUAGCCACUGCAUCUACCAGGAGCCCAGUGAGCGCUGCCAACGAAGCUGCCUUCCAGGAUGAUGGCAAGUGAGAAAUGAUGCCAAUAACAGCCCAAGAUGGUCUCUGUAGGGACCAAGGAAUUCCCAUCUAACAGAAGAACCAGCCCUGGACAUCUGAAGGUUAACUGGCUCCAAGCACCCAUAAAACCUGCCUGCAAAAACAAGGCACGCGAGCUGUGACCCCGGUAGGUGAAGAGUGAAACAUGAGGGAAGCCUGCUGCGUAUGCUGGCUAGCAAGCGGCACGGCCAGGAGCUGCCCAGCUCGGCCCGUUCCUCUGCCAAAAGAUCAGUUUUCGGUUCUCCGUGAGCACGCAGGAUGAUUCAAGAGUUCCCUGACAUUUGUUUUCGGAACGGCCUCCAUGCAUCCCCUUUCCCUCCCCACCACACCGAGUUUUGGUUGCAGUCCUUCGCAGCGGAUCUGGAGUUACACGAGCCAUCGGCUGCUGCUGGAAGAGCUGCAGCACGCGCUGCCUUUCAAGGGGGGCAGUGCCCUGAGACGUGGGGGCAUCCGAGUGCUACAUGAGCCUGUGAAGAAGAAGAUGGUCUCUGAAAGGAGCGACAGAAGAGCCCGAGCUCAGACAGCGGUCCUACCAAGCGGCACUCACCUCCGGGCUGCACACACGCCACUGCUUCGCAGAGACAGCAUCUAAGGCAAGAGCACAGACACAGUGGGUACACAGAGGAGACAGGUACGGGUUUAGGAAUACUGUCUAGGUUUUAAAACACGUAAUUUUGUAAGUAGAAAACACUGUAAAGUUGUACUCAUCUCCCUGUGUACACAUCCAGGGCUACUUUGGCUGUACCUGCACCUACCACGAGAGGAAUGGCAUCAAUGUAAACCUGAGCUGCAGCACCCCCAAAUGCAAGGGGAGCUCAGUUCCGCAGCAGUUAGGGGUUACUGCAACAGGCAGAAAAACACCUCGCAGGCAUUACAGGACUGUUUACUGUCUUCAAGUCAAACUGUACACCAAAAAAUGCAUCAAAGAAUUAAAUGGAUGUCCUAAGGCCCGUAUAAUGUUAGCAGGUCUCAAAUACUUGACGCGUGUGCUUCUCUCAUCCACUCAAAAUAUUCCUCAUUUGUCUGACAAGCUUCCCUCCUUCCCAGUCUUUCCCUCCAGACUAAGAUGGAGAAGGAUGAGGGUUAUUGCACAGGCAAAAACAAAUGAAAAGCCUAAAGAUUUAACUGCUCCCAAUGGUAAGACCUAAUUUGUCUGGAGGAAAAAAUGCAAGCCAAGGGCAACCUGAUGGUCUGAACCCAGCUCCUCCUGGCACUUCUGGCUAUGCUGCCAUGUGAGAAGUUGCCUAGCCCUGUUUUCCUUUUGCUUUCUUAACUUUCCACAACAAAAAGGGAUUAGAGGAAAGGCGUUCACAAGUGGAAAUUUCUGCUGGGUGGAUAAUUCAUCCUGUGGUAGCUCUCUCCCAUUUCCAAGGCCGGUUGUAAAUUCAUCUACCAGGGUAAAUACAAAUUGAGUCUUAAGGAAUAGAGGAAGCCAGUAAAGAGAAGUCCCCAGUUCUCUGGAAUUACGUCCACCACUGCCCCAGCCUGCCUUUUCCUGCCCUGGGCUGGUCAGUUCCUCUCCUCUACGAAAACGCCAAAGAGAAGUGUUUUCCCUUGCCCGGAGAGAACUUUUUGGACAAAUACUCUGCCUUUGUGCCCCGUGACAAUCAGUUUUAAGUUUCACAUUUCUCUUUAUCAGCAGGAAGCUCUGUUCAGCAGCAGCCUGUGUCGUUUGGGUACGAGCUGAGCCACUACGUGCUCCGACAAGAAGCUAGCCAACAAGCCCUCUCCGAAGAGCCAGGCGAGCUUGCAGUCUCGCAGCGCUGGCAGCAGUUCCUGCCCGCGGUUUUGCCCGCAGAUGGCCAGGUGAUAACGCCACGCUUUCCCCGAGCACUGCAACUCUGCUCCUGCUCUCUGUGCCCAAAGCACCGAGAAAGGUAAAAGAAAUUCCCCACGGAAACUCUCAAACACCUCUUCAGGCUGUGAAACCUCUGUGCUGAGCACCAGAAGCUGGAACAGCUGCAGGCCACAUAACCGAAAGCUUAAAAACCUGUGAGACCUCUCCACCCCGUUGUUCACACGAGACAGGACCACAGCACUGAGCCAAGCACACAGAGCAGCUUGUCUGCUCUCCCCCUUUCACAGUUCUCCUGCCACAAAAAAAAAUAAAAUAGCCACAACUCUGGAGAAGGAAGUCUUCCUCCAUGUGCUUCUCUCAGCACUCAGAGCAAUGCGAGAGCCUUUUGGAAGAGCUUUUUGAUUGAUUUCUCAGGAAGAAAAAAAAAAGCAAAACUAAUCUGUGAUUAGAAGUCACAAAGAUGCUCAGUCAGGUGGAAGCAUUCCUGAAAAGCAAGGGGGAAACUACCUAACAAAUUCAGUCAGCUGCCUUGGAGGGUAAACAGCAAACCUGGGCACAAUCUACAGAUCUUGACUAUUACCAACAGUGGAUGUUUUUGUAGUUCUCUUCAUACUUGUAAGUAAAAGUUGUUGAACUAAAAAAGUCUGUUGGAUUGACCCUGCCACCAAAGCAAAGCCAAAAAAUAAAAAUAAAGAAAAGAAGGGUUCACUUUACAGCAUUGCUCCAAAUGUCUUCUGUGCUUCCAGCUGACCCGGAAGGCACACUUCUCAGCAUUUACAGAACUUGGCCUAGCAGCCCAUAAAAGCCUCCGUUUUAAGAUGACCCGUCAGUAAUGCAGAUUCCUGGAGUUGCCUUAAAAUGUCCUUAAAAACAGGAGACUGUUUUAGGCAGGGAUAAAGCUUCCCCUCCAAUCCUGUGACCCUGCAAGGUGCAGGCCAAGCAUCCCUUCUGUGUGUAGCUGUGUGACACGGCUCGUUUAUCGCUGAAAGAAGGCGAUUCCCCUUUCUCCUUGCUUCCUGAGGAAACGGUCUCCCUCCCUGCCUCCCCCAAAAGCUCACAACAAAACUCUCUCUGCAGCAACAGCGUAUUAACUGUUCGUCUCUAUUCCAUUACCUGCAGAGCUGCCUCAACCUGUGAAUAAAUAUUCUUUUGUCUUUAAAUAGUGUUUAAAAUAUUCACAUUGGUUUUGAGUUUCAGCUGGCUGCAAGAAGGGACCGGAGAGGUGCCGACCUGCAGUAGUGUCUGUGGAAGAGCUGGUGGUGAGGACAAGGACGGGUGGUGAGGAUGAAGGACAGGUAGGUAGGAGCUUUGGGUGGCAUUCCCAUUGCCCACACGACUUUUCUGCUGACAUCACCAGCAACUUUUCUCUCUGGAACAAGCACUGCUGAUGGUUGUAGGCAAGACAGAUAAUCUGGUGAAAAAAGUAAAGCUGUACGAGAGUUCCCCUGGAUCCAGUGCAAUGGGAGGCAGCCUGCUGCUGUUUUGAUCCUCAGGUAACCAGGUUUGACCCCGCCACCUUUACCAAUGUCAUAAGCAAGCUUCACCUUGCCUUCAGCAGCAAGGCGAUGAGCAAAAAGCCCUCCUCUUCCUCUCUCCCCUGACCCUACUCUCACCAUUGUGCUCAAAGCGGCAGCAUUUUGCAUUCCCCAACGUGUUUACUGGGACAAAAAAGGGAGAAGUGUUUCAUUUCUCUCCUGGUGUGUGACUGUCUGAACACCUUUGUUAACAUGACUGCGUACAAGUGCUGUAGAUCUGUGAAACCUGCCUGCAGACAACACACACAGUUAACUUUAUUUGAAAUACACACCCUAGGAAAUCUGCAGACAGUCCUACAGCCCUUCUAAUCCUAUUUUAUACACCCUUCUCAGGGCAAGUAUCACGUAGAAAGCCCCCUUACCAGGCAGAAAGACGAUAAAACCCUCCAGUGAACUGCUGAGCAUAACCAGCUGCAACGCCGUGCAACCAAAAAUGCCAUUAAUCAUUUACAUCAGGAAAUGCCAAAGGAAGGGAGAGCACACAGCCUUAUCUGCUCCUUGUGUACACAUGCAGGUUACAGGCUGUGGUUAAACCAGUCGUUCGCAGGACACGCAGCAGCUAAAUGGGGCUCUGCUCCCUGGCCCUGGCUGCCGACUUUGUGUCUCCAAAAUCCAGAAUCGCCGUGCUCACUGCCUGCACGAGCUGUGUCUAAAACUGCCUGCAGCUGCUGCUUCUUCAUCUCGUGGAAUUUUUAUCAGUGCCGAUUUAAUGCCUUCCCUCGAAAGGUAUAAAAUCUGUUUCUUGUAGAACAUCACAUAAGGCAUUUCUGCCUGGCUUUAAUCGUAUUUUAAAUGAGUGUCUUUUCAGCCCCAGAGGGAAAGCUUUCUGGUAGCGUCUGAAUGCUGUUAAAUCACUUCUUGAUCCUCUGUACGGAGAUGUGCAAGUGGCUGCAAAAGUUACUCUGCUGACCAGGACUCCGGAGCAGCUCUUCUGGUGAGAUCUUCCUCCAGUGCACUUCUUUUUUCCUUCAGAACAAUUCCAGGUCGGGCUUUUUGGUUUCCAGUGCUGACCUGGGAGGUAAGUCCUCUCCUAAAUAAUGGGAACUGAGUCACGUCCAGUACCGUGCCAGCACAGGUAGCUGUCACUUUGCCCUUCUGCGAGUGUAUCAAGCUUACAGCAAAACCAGCCAGCGUGUUCUGCUAAAAGCCUGCAGUCCCCUCUGCACCUCGCUCUCUGAGGUCUUACUCCUGAAAGAGGCACGAAGGGACCCAGUAAAUCCUCUGUGUAUAGACUCCUUUUGCCACCUCCUGCAGGUUCCUUCAAAGUUUGCUUUGUCCCCUCUGAGCUGUCUGUUCAUUUUUUGGAGGGGUGUCAGGUGGCUGGAAGUGCACGUGUGAAGUUUACUGACACAGACCUGGAAGUGUGAGCCUUUUAACGUGCAGAACUGCUGUCAUCAGAUAAAGGUAGCCAUGAAGAAACAUCCUAAAACCCUCUCUGCUUUUACCAUUACAGGUGGGAGGCAGGAGCUGUGCAGACAAACCACUAAAAGCCCCAGGACUGCUCCGAAGAUGAAGUUACACGCUGCCUUCUGGUGAUCCAACCGCCACCACUUCUCAAAAACAGGAGCGCCCUGCAGCCUCCGUCUCCUGCUUUGUUUAUUUACCGCCAGGUGAGGGAGCGAAACCGGCUCAGCACAGGGCCCAACACGUGCCAAGGGCUGGGAGGAGAGCAGGGCUUCCCCUUCUGGCUCCAGUGCACUCUGCUGGGACAGCAACAGCUCCCCGGAGACUGCUGCACGUUCCGACACGCGAAUUUACAACCUGGUAAAUGGGGGGGAAGGCGCAGCUCUCGGAUCCACUCGCAGUUUCUACACGGCUGGCUAGGGUGACGGAAGACCCGAUGACAACACAAACGAGCAGGGCAAGCGUUGGGCAAGCAGCAGCCCAGGCAGCUUGCUAGCUCUAGCCAGCGGUGGGACACUGCACCCAGACAAGUGCAGAGGAGAGUGUCUGUCUGCUUAAGAGCUGUGGGUGUUUCACCAGCUCUAACACGUGUACUUGAGGCAGAAGAAACACCCUGUUAGAUGGAGGGAGGCAAGUACCUAGCACGUAAGCUUUGUCACAGGCCAUCAUCAACAUUAAGCACCGAAUUAAAAAAAAAAUAUUAGCAGAGGCUUAGCAUUUAACGCCUUAAGUAGUAAAUCCACAGCAAAUCCUCCUGAAUUAGAUCCAGGAGGUAUGAGUAAAAUGUAUUUUAACUCGUUUUUUAAAGUUUUCUGAGGUGCCACCUGAGGCUCCCAAACAACUGAUCUCCACCUUGAUGUCGGCUUUGUCAGCGCUCUGCAAAUCAGAUGGCACCCAGCGCCUCACACACCCCUCUGCGGCUCAGGAAUCUCCUUCUGGUACAGAAAAAGCAAACCGUUCAUUUGCAUUUAGCCCCCCUCUUAAACUUAUGUAACCUGAAAGCCUCCAGCAGACUGAGGCUGAGCUAAGCAGUGGGUUUGUGUGGUUAAAGGAAAUUUGCUCUAGAAUUACGCAUGUUACCACUUAAAACAAAAUGUUUGCAGAAGGAAGAAGAGACGCGCCUCCCCGUUUGUGCACGCUGACUCUGAACACAAAAGGCAGCAGCUGCUGCGAGCUACCUAACUGUAAGUUUUUCUUUGCAAUGUUUUAGAUGUAAAUUAAGUAAAGACUCACCCGGGUGUGCAGAUUAAUUAUUUUUUCUCCCCUGAUUCCCUUUCACUUCACUUCCAGAGUCCACACACACCUUGUUGGAAUCACGUUCUGGCUUACUUCUGGCCAGACUGGUGUGAGAGCUAAAUAUUGCUGUGCUUGGCGAACCCAGAGACAAGCCUGCCUUGCUUUUUGUAAAAAUAAGACCGGUAAUGAAAAACAACCAGAGUCUGAACGAUAAAAAAAUCCCAGCUUAUCACACGAAACGGAGUUUUAUAAAUACCCUCGCAAGGCAAGAAAACAAGUAGCAGUCAUAACACCACUUACUUGUGGAGAACUCCCACUGCAGAAGUUACCCAGCUCCUAGUGACAGCAGGCGGGGAGAGGAGAGCCACGCACACCGAACUCAGACUGACCGCUCCUGCCUUCCGAGGCAGGCAGCAGAACGGCUGAUUACACCAGGUCCCCUCGGCCCUGCAGGAGUUGUGCUUUCCUGACAACGCCACUGCUACCAGCACAGGGAAAAAAAACACCCUUACAAGCAAAAACAAGCUCUAUCAGUAAAAGUCCACUUGUGCAGAUAACUGCAUCUACAGCCGGGGCUUCUGCUGGCACAGCUAUGUCAGUCACGGGUCACACUUCGUCACCGUGCUCGCAGACAGAGCUGUGCCAGCAGAAGUUUGCCAUAUAGACCUGGUGUGAAGCUCAACAGCCAUCAAAGUGAAUCCGCAAAGUUUCGCGUUUUUCAGGCCACUGCCAAAUGAACUUUUUCCAACCAACACCCUGACGAUCGGCAUUCUUGCUCCUGUGUCGUGGGCACGUUAGCAUCCUGGCUUCCGAGGGGAGAAGAAACCUAAACUUAGCCCAGGAAUGUGGCAACACCUUUCAUCCACUGACAUCGUACUUUAAAUUCACAAACUAAAUUAGAAAGCAGGAGCCCCUGCAGGAAGAAAAGGCAGAAACGAAUAAAUUAAGUUCUGCUCUACU